GGGGUUAUGGGGUAGUUUGGUAGCCUAUGAGGUUUGGGACUUCAUGACCCAGGUUCAAAUCCUGGUAGCCCCA
rnacentral:tRNA from 1 species